rfam:Ovis aries breed Texel chromosome 6, whole genome shotgun sequence.
UCCCUGGUGGCUCAGCUGGUAAAGUGUCUGCCUGCAAGGCAGGAGAUCCAGGUGCAAUCCCUGGGUUAGGAA